GAAGCAAGCACUCCAAUUAAUUUCAUAUCAAUUUCGAAACCCAAACGCAACAAUUAACCAAGUAAGCCGCCAGGCUUAUUGUAAACCCUGUUCUGCCUCAUUUUCCAUUUAAAAAUCCAUCAAGCACCAGUUAAGUUUAAUCCAAUAUAAAAGCCCCAAUCAAAGAAAAGCGAAUGGGGAAACCCCCGAGUUCAACCCUGGCCAUGGUCUAUUUUCUGAUCCGUGAACGGCAAUAUAAAUUUCAUAUACACACAAGCGAAAACCUCUGUGUGUGGGGGAAAAUGGAACAUGUUCAUUUUAAAAAUAGAUUUAUUGAUUGUAACAAAUUUUUAUAUUUCACUAGAGCAAGAAGGAAGACCAGAAAACAGGUCCCACCCUCUGGAAAACCCACCGAACCAUCCAACCAACACCCUCGACAGCUGAGCUUGCCAAGGGCGGAGGUCUUUAUAUACAUAUAUAUAUAUUUAGACGGUUGACAGGUUUGCCAUCUUCAUCACCGUCAAUUCAGAUGAACACCCAAAAAGAGACUUGCGCAGACUUGCGGACCACCACUUACCAAAACUUCGUAGCAGAUUUCCCUCAGCUCCUUCUCCACGCGCUCUCUGUACUCACGGGCGAGCUGCUGUUUUCUAGCGGAUGCUUCGGUUUUCUGCUCAAUGGAGGAGAUGACACGCCACGAUGACCUGGUUUGGACAUGUUAAACACACCCAGAGAAGGGGCAGAAACAUAUAGCUUAGCACUUGAACUCCAAUCUAUGGUGCGACAUUAAUCAAUCGGUGAUUGAUUGACUCACCUGCGGGCACCGACCACAUUUUUGUAGGCAACGGAGAGCAGAUUUCUUUCCUCAUUUGAGAGCUCAACGCCAGUCUCUGUGACGGACUUCAUGGCCUGGGCCAUAUCAUCGUAACUGCAUAGAAAAUAUUCCAUUAGUAAUUGGAAAUAUUUCGUCAUGUAGAUGACAAAAAUAUGUGCAUGCUUUUAAUUUUGGAGAACAACUUAAAUGAUAUAUUUUUCAUUAGAAGAUGUUUUCAAAUAGAUUAAAUAAAUCAGAAAACAAUGUUAAAUUUUAGAGUUCUUAUAACUUCCAAAUAUGUCUUUUUUAGUUACUGUAUGACAUUUGGUUUUAUAUAUUAUGUGCAACUAUAACUUUUGUCAAAUCUUUUGAAGUUCUGUGAGGUUGAUGAACUUUAUUAUAUGAUGAACCACUUACCGUUCUGACUGCUCGGCCAGUUUAGCCUUCUGGACCAGCUCUUCCUUAUCGACUGUCGACAUUUUGUUUGAUUUUUUUUUU